rnacentral:lncRNA from 1 species
UGGUGAGCUAUUUUGGAAUGUAAGCUAAUGUUUAUAUUUUGGAAGAUGUAAGCUUUAUACUAUGUUUUGGAAGUUCAAUGUAUAAUCAAAUUGUAUUAUAAAGGCUGAAUGAAUGUAAUAGAUAGAUGCUCUCUCUUUAUCAUUACUUGUAUGUUCUAUACUUGUAUCUUGCUCUUGGUCGUUUUGCACUGAUUGUGCUCUCGUUGUAGUUAUCGAUUGUGUAUGUAUUCAAGUUAUUUUCCUGGGAACUUGUUGUACACAAUCUCGUUGUUAGCCUUGGGCGGACAGGGGAGGUGCUGUCCGUCCGGCGUCUGUUCGACGCGCCCGGGCCGAGCCAAAUUGGUAGCGGUCGCGGGGCGUGACACACAGUCUCUCCGUCAAAGGUAGGCGGACUAAAUUUCUUGUAAGUCAUGAGAGUUGCCAAAGCUCGCUCCCUCUUCGCCUCCAUUCUAAUACAACCAAGGGCCGGAUCGACGGAACCCACUGCGAUUCCUGACGGUACACGGCGCGCUGCCACAGGCGCUGCCGCUGCAGCCACCCUCUCGGUCGCAUCAGGUGAACCGACUGGAGGCACCAACGGCUCCU